GCCAGGGAUAGCUCAGUUGGUAAAGCACAAGACUAUUCAUCACAGGGUUGUGUGUUUGAGCCCCACACUAGGCA